rnacentral:rRNA from 1 species
UACGUAGGGGGCAAGCGUUGUCCGGAAUUAUUGGGCGUAAAGAGCGUGUAGGCGGUCCGGUAAGUCAGCUGUGAAAGUCAAGGGCUCAACCCUUGAAAGCCGGUUGAUACUGUCGGGCUAGAGUCCGGAAGAGGCGAGUGGAAUUCCCGGUGUAGCGGUGAAAUGCGCAGAUAUCGGGAGGAACACCAAUGGCGAAGGCAGCUCGCUGGGACGGUACUGACGCUGAGGAGCGAAAGCAUGGGGAGCGAACAGG